UAAAGACUACAAUGGACCUGCUAUUAGUUUAAACUACUGGGCCAAAUUUAAUCAAACUUUGCUUUUAUCAUUAAAAGGGUAUGCAAUACUAUUAACUGAUUUUCAAACAACAGUGAAGACAUUAAAUAUAAACCACAAAGAAAUGUUCUUAUAUCAAAAUUGGCCCAUUUAAAAAAAUAUGACAAAGAAUCCAAAAACUGAGGAUGAAUAUAUCAAACUACUACUUAUUAGAAAGUGUAGAAAAACACUUAGAUUAAUAUCAUCUUUUAUUAAUCAUUUGAAUUAAGGAAAAAUGUCUUUAUAAAUGCAUGAGUAAUAUGAACAAUUUAAAGCUAUAACAUAAAAUGUACUUUUGUCAGUAGCCUAAAAGGCUAAUCUAAAUGAACCUAUAUAUAUUGAUAUGUUUAUAACUGCAUAUUUCAUUUUUUGAAAUAUAUGUCUAUUGAUAUUCUAUGUAGACUAUUGUUUAAUUGCUGCAUCCAUUACUAUUUGUAUACUUAUUGUGAUUGGGCUGUUGCCAAUUAUUGUAAUUGAGUUUGUGCCAAUAAAAUAUUUGUAUUUGUAUUGAAUAUUACAAGACCGUAACUACCCUUGACGCAAGUGAGGCAAUUGCCUCAAUAAAAUUUCGAAACUGAUUAUUUUUUUAUACAUAAUUAUAAUCAGCUAAUUGUUUGCAAAACUCUUUGAAUACAUGUAUAUAGUAUUGUGUCCACAUGCUAAAUACUGUUUCUCCCUUUCAGCAAUUAUGAUUACAAGGAUGAUGGAGUCAGAGGAGUUACAUUUUAACUAUUGAUAAAGACUGAUACUUGAAUGAAGUAACCGACAUGCAGUGUCCCCGACUCCAUGCCUGACAGUCCAUUUUUACAUGUACAAAAAAAAAUUACACACUUGUAGUUCCCGAGAUGUAAGUGGAAGUGAAGUUAUACAAUGAAAUGAAUGAAUUGAUUGGAUAUACAUGUAGAUGAGACCCUAUACCUACAGUAAAUGUAAUUGGAACUGUAGGAAGUUUUCCAAGAGUCUGAUUGCUAAGUAUGCAUUACAGGAUUUUAUCAUUGGAGCAACAUCUUAGGAGGAUAAACUUGUGCAAAUGUAUGAAGGAAUCCUUGAGUACAAACAGCAAUUAUAUGCAGAAGACUCUACCAUUAUAAGCAGACAUGAAGUCAUAGAAGUGGUGUAUUCAUGCAAGCAAUGUAAACCACCUGGAAUAAACUAUUGUGUAUAUUUUUUCAACCACAAGUACUUUCAGAAUAUAAUACAAUUCGAAUUUAAUUGAUAAGAGACUAUAAACAAUUACAAUAUGAAUCAAGAAUAGCCAUCAACUGAACACUAAAUUCUUUGAAUAUUUUUUUUAAUCAAGAUGAAAUUUUGGACAAUCACUGAAAAGGUUUCUGGCUUUAAAUUGGUACAUGAAUAUGUGGAGAGGUUAACUACUGUAGUUCUUUUCUCCAAAACCUUCUUAAAAAAGAAUUGGCAUCUUUUGCAAGUAGGUAUUUUUCAUAAUGUGAUUGGUUUGUGUUAAUAUUGAUGAUCACACAAUAUGACUUGUACAAACAUAGUAAAAAUCAAUUCAAAUGAAAUAUACAUCAUUGCAAACAUCUUCUAU